GAAAUGGCGCGGCAGAGGCCGACGCGUAUCCCCACGCCGAAUGUUUGACCUAGGUGUGCCCCAGGGUUGGUAAUGGGGCCAUGCAUAGCUGAGAUUGACCGUAUUGUCAUAAGAGAAGUUCAUCAUCAAUUAGAAGUGAAUUGGUGUAGAAAUGAAGAAAUUAUAGUAAAAGGCAAUUUUGGGCGGGUGUGGUCUAUGUGGGCGGGGCCCCAGGGUUGGUAAUGGGGCCAUGCAUAGUUGAGAUUGACCGUAUUGUCAUAAGAGAGGUUCAGUAUCAAUUUGAAGUGAAUCGGUGUAGAAAUGAAGAAAUUAUAGUAAAAGGCAAUUUUGGGUGGGUGUGGUCUAUGUGGGCGGGGCGCCCCAGGGUUGGUAAUGGGGCCAUGCAUAGUUGAGAUUUACUGUAUUGUCAUAAGAGAAGUUCAAUAUCAAUUUGAAGUGAAUCGGUGUAGAAAUGAAGAAAUUAUAGUAAAGGCAAUUUUGGGUGGGUGUGGUCUAUGUGGGCGGGGCCCCAGGGUUGGUUAUGGGGCCAUGCAUAGUAGA